CACAUUUUAUACCUAAAACUACAUGAUAUAUAAAGAUGUGUACAUCAGAUAUGUUUUCUAUUAUUGAAUUUCGUCAAUGCAAGAUGAGUUGGAUGAUUUAUCAAAAAUGAAUCCAUGUUAUUCUGGUCGAGAUCUUGACAGAAUCAUAUUUUAGUUUUUAUUCUCUCUCUCCUCUGGCUGAACAUGAACAUGUUGAUACACUUAUUGACCACAAGAGGGAGCUCAUAUUUCUUAUCUGCCUAAUACACAUUAUUUAUUAACAUGCCAAUAUUUACAUUUCAUCAAGUAUAAAAAUGUCAACAUGAAUGUCGUUUUGGAAUAUAGUCAAUAAUAGUUGAAAUCUCUUGCGGUAGAAACUGCAGUUUUCCAUCCACUCCACUAGGCGGCAGAAGCAAUGCUCAGCUCGACUCAACACGAAUCAGGUGGGAAGACGUAGAACUUCAGAUGACAGCAGCACGCUCGUCAUGACAACAAUAAGGGAUGUGUUUGGACCGUACAGUCAACAGAAGCAGAGCUCCAGGACGUUUGGACUACAUUUACUGGCGUGAUGGACGUCUGCUGCGGACAGGAAAAGAACACAGAAGUGAAGACGGUGUGAUCAAGACUGAACACAGACAAAGGCAGUAUCCCCGAGUUAGAGGAGAUCAUGAUCACACACUUGAAGCUGAGGAUCACCAUCAAAUGCAGAUCUAAACAUCACACUCUGACAGAUAUUACAAUUAAUAAUUCAGAAUUAUACACAUUUACAGCCUAAAUAUUGCCUGUGCAAGCUCUAGAAACACAGCAGAACAUCAGAGCUUCACAAACUGACUUGUUAACACAUAUUAUGUCUUGUUCUGCUUUAUAAUGAGAGGCUGUUUAACUCUGAGCCUUUACAUAUUAAACAGCAACUACCAAUUCAUUUGCUCCUAAAUGUCUGACAGUGACAGAGAGCAGCAUGUAAACAAAGCUGUUUAACAAACAGGAGAGCUCUGCUUAAACAUAUCACUAAAGACACUUCAAUAAGUGCUAAACAUGAACUUAACUGCGACUGAAGUACAAAGAAUAAAGACUUAAUGAGGAAAUGCAGGAGAAAUACUGUACAGUUACUUACAGAUGAGUCGCUUUUCACUGCAUUCAUGUCCUUUAUCUCAGCGUGUGUCGGAUAUUUUAGUUGUCGGACUGCAUUAAAUGUUGUUUAGUGACAUUAAAACACUGUCGCUGAGCUGUCAUCUUCAGUUUAUGUGUUUAAAACUGCACACUCGUGCUGCUGCUGCACCAAAACAAACGUCACACUGUCAACAUCCGGAAGCUCUGGGUCAGACUGAACGGGAAGUCGCGCGCGCCGCCUGGUGGAGCGGAUGGAGAACUGCACUAGAGUCCCUAACAGGACGAGUUACAGCGUUAAAGCCUCGUUUAUUUAAAGUCUGAUAAGUCAUUUAAACUCCAAAUAUGCAUAAUUUAAAAUGUAGACAUCCAGACAUUAUAAUGCAUCUAUUAGGUAGGUUAUUAAAUAGCUCAAUGUCAAGUGCCAAAUAAGUCAAGAUGUGGUCGUCAGCGCCCUCGUGUGGGCAUGAAUCAGUGUUGUUCAGAUCAUGAGCUCGUGGUGUUCAGUCGCAGAUGACUUCUGUUGGAAUGGAUCUACACUGAUGUCUGUUUUAGACUCCAGUCCUGGGGACCAACAGAGCUCCACAUUUUACAUGUUUCUCUUAUCAAAUACACACAGGUUCCUGAAAACAGGUUGUGAAUCAGGGUCCGUAUUCACAAAACUUAUCUUCUCCUCAACAUCGGAAAAAGUUUUAAGCUAAGAGUUUUCUUUUACAACUUAUUCACAAAGCUGCAGAUUCAAAGGUUUACUGGAGAGAAGUCUUGAGCUAAGAUUGAGGCCGGGGUUCAGCCCAUUGCUAUGGAUGAUGUCAGCAUGCUUGUUAACUAUGCACACAGUGAUUGGACGAUAAGCAGGGGAGGAGUCUCUGUCAGAAAUGUGUUGAUAGAAACUUUGCAGAGGACAAUAUCAUGUGGUUGUAUUCAAAUAAAGGUUUUAAAAUGAUACAUUAAAUAGAAAUGAAUUGCUUUGAACUAUUCAAAUUAAUUGAAUUGCUCUACACCUACAGGUUGAAAUGGUGUAACUGCCAAUAAGAACACAGUCCAAACAUCAAUGAAUCAAUUUAAUUGAAUCAAUUGAAUUGAUUCAUUGAAUUUGACCGCUGUAAAUGCUUCAAAUCAAUCGAACUGGUUCAAAGAAAAUAAUCAUAAAGCCUAAUGAAGCUGUUUUUCAAAAUCACUCUCACUAUAUACUGUAUAAGAGCUUGUAACUGACCUGUGUUCAGUCUUGAUCACACCGUCUUCACUUCUGUGUUCUUUUCCUAUUAAUAAAAAAACAAAGAAACAUUAAAAAA